GAAGAAUUGACAAGCCAGGUUUUUAUUCCAAUUUAUUUAAUGAGCUAAAAAAAAAAUCUCUACAUGUAAAUUACUAGUGAGAUGUCUGAUUAAACUGGACCAGUGACAGCAUUUAGCUGGCAUGAGGGUCCACCCUGCCUGCUUAGAUGCCUUUUCUUGGCAGGAGCCUUGGGAGAGGUUGGGCUGUUGACAACAUAGAAUUUGUGUACUUCAAAAUGUCUGCACAUCUACUCUAUGUGCUCACACUUUUGUAACUGCAGAGAAGCGAGGCUGUGAGAUAUCACUAUCUUUAAUUCCAGCCUACAACCUUUCUAAAAGGCAAUUCUAUACAAAGAACUGGAAAGCAUACGCACAAAACUGAAAUCUAAUCAGAGGGAGAAAAUUCAAAACAUUUUUUGUGCUUCAAGUCUAUAUAGGGUGCAAUGCAGAAGGUCAGGGUUCUUUUAUGUUUUUUUUUUCCAUUUUAAUAAUGAUGUCCAGAGAUGCUGUAAAACAGUAAGAAUGCUUAUAGAGUUCUUUGUGCUUGUUGCCAAGAGACUAGAACUUCAACCUACUCAACUGUAAAAUAUCAUCUUUAGCACACAGCUUAGCCUAUCCAAUCCCAAGGCAUAAUGCCAUGAAUACGAAUCCCUCUUCGUCCUCAGUCUAUUUGCCUUCCUGGGGCCCACAGAUGCCCUUCUAAUGGCAGUCUUCCAGAUUGCACCUCUUCUAAGUGCCCACUGCUUGGGAAACCAGGAAUUAUUAGCCUGCUUUACUGUAUGUACCUCGCGACCUAAUUAAAAUCUACACCUUCAAUGUUUCAUUGCAGGAAGCACUAUUGCAAGAAUGACUAUCUGUUCUAACAAGCUCAACUCGGUGAAGCAACCUUUGGAAGGAGAUUAUAGUUAAACAGGAAAAAAAUAUAGCCUAGUAUAGUCCUGCCUUGCAACUAUAUUAAGCCAUAACUGGAGGAAUGAAUCCAAUCAGGCCGCGUUAGGCUACACAUUUCAGGAAAAAUUUGGUGGAGAUGGUUCUGGAUGACUCACUCUUAAUUGCUUCUGGCUCAGAAAAACUGGUAUUGAGAUUUUGUUUCAAAUGGCCUACAUGAUGAGAUGAAGUAAAGUGAACAACAUGGGCAGUGUGAUGUUGUGUUAAGCUACUGCUGACCUUCCGACAAUGUGUCUGCUUCCAGACAUCUGCUUCCAGACUGCAGUUGAUAGCAGGUCACUGGAUUCAAAGAACAAGAAAUGAUAUAAACAAAUGGACUUCAAGGCCAGAGCAGCAUGGUCUCCAGAAUUUCCCAGCACUACAGUGGUCUCAGUGACCUGUACUUCAAAGCAAGGAAGAUGCUGAAUUAUCCUUUUGUACCAUCUUUUGUUCUUUCACAAUUGGUUGUAGAAAGUGCAGCCCUCAGCUUCAGACACUGAAACCCAAUGAAUCAAACAUAAUGAGUCGGACAUGUCAUUGAAUAAAACGCAGGAAAAAUGCUGUGGGUUCCACACCAUUGCCUCUAUUAAA